CCACUGAUACUUAUGUAAGUCCUGCUGUACAAAGUAAAGAUACCACACUAACAACUGAAGUACCAGCAAGAACAACAGAAAAGGAUGAGGAUACAGUUACGUUGCUACAAGAGAAAGUUGAAAGUAUUCAAAAGCAACUGGAGGAAGAAAAGGAACUCCAUGAAAAAGAGAAAGAAUUUCAUGAACAAGUUAUAAAGAAAUAUGAAGAGAGAAUAGCAACACUUACUGAACAACAGGAGGAAGUUACUGGAGACUCGAAACACAAGACAGAACAAUAUGAAGAAUUUAUAUCAGACAAUGAACUUACUCAUAAACAACUGGAGGAACUUCAAAAGAAGUUAAAGGAAGAGAAACAAACAUCCUCCAGUUUCAUAAAACAGAAACAAGUUGCUCUAAGAGAGAAAGACGAACUGCAAAUAAAGAUUGAAGAACUUCAACAAAAAUUAGAAGUACAGCAAGUCAAAGAUCACAAGAAAGUAUCAGGUCAGUGUGAAUACAAUUCAGUCAGGUAUAUGUGUUUGUGUGUGUAUGUAUA